ACACAACUUUUAUUCAAAUCCAACUAGUAGAUUGCAAGAAAUCUUAGAAAUCCUUACUAGAUCUAAAAUUCUACUUUUUAAGACCCUGACCAACUUAAAUCUCAAUAAUCCUUAAUUCAAUUAUUAAACCAAGCUAAAAUUUACAACACAUAUUAAACACAACUAUAACCAUUAAUCCAAAAAAUUAUAUUUAUAGAUCUAUUAUAAAACUCCUGAAAUUAUCAAAAAUAUCAAUCUUAUUUUAUUUCACAAAAAUUCAAAUCAUCUAAAACAAUCUUGACUUUGUAAAGUUCUUACAAAGUCAUUACAAAUCCAAAUCAUACAAAACCAAUGCUUAUAGAAAUCCUAUCAAGUAUACUAUCAAAUUCCACUCUUUGAUCUUCAAAAGAAUCCUAGAAUCACCAUAGGUGUGUGGUUUUGUGCCUUAGGAUCUGAUUUCGACUUAGAUUGACAACUGGUCUUCUCCAAGUAUCAAUUCUUGGCUUCUUGAGGUAAAUUUUACUAAAAUCUACUCUUAACUCCCUC
rnacentral:lncRNA from 1 species